rnacentral:rRNA from 1 species
CAAACCGUUUCCUGGGAUAGCUAGCCCACGCCACGACCCGUCUCCCACGUUCCUAUUCCAAUCGAGAUGAGCGGUAGUUUUGAUGGCGAGUGGCGGCGGCGGCUGGUUUGCUGGUCGACGGCAUGGUGCUCAGCGGGUUAGUUCUGCGGGAAAGUCAAUGACCUCAGCGACGUCAUGAUCAGGCAUGUGGCCACGGAGUCCGGCAGCGCGGCGUCCGGCGGGUGGUUGUCGCGGCAGCUCUGGCUCGAGGCUCGAGCACGGUUGCCAGGACUGUACAAGGACGAGCAUCCAUCACGGCCUCCGGGUGUAAGGUUCGUGCGCUCCCCUUUUUUUUUGCAAACGCAUGGGCACAGUGAGCCCGCUGCCCUUGUUCUCCAUGCGGCUGCGAUCCCCUCCUCUCACACCACAUCACAUGUUUUGUUGCUAGACCCUUCCUCCUACCCGGUAACCAUUAUGUUUCUGAUCUGAUUGUUUCCAUAAUUUCAAGGCUUGUGUGAACCUCGGUAAUUCAUCUUUGGAUCUCAUUCUGAGUGCCCACGGGGUGUUUAUGUUAAUGCCCAAUUGGGAAUUGAAGCUGUAACAGUUGUAUACUUUUGUGAGGAAUCUUGGAUAAAUGAAGGCGCAGGUUCUAAAUUUCAUUUACUAUUGAUUCUGAAAAGAUUUAUUACAUGAGCCUGAUGGGUAGAAUCCUUAUUUGUGCCUGGCUACUUGGUAUAGUAUAGCAAAUAAAAUCUGCCAAGGGUCAGGGGUAAAUUCAAGUGUCCUGACUCUAUGAAUUCAUUAUGAACAAGUGUGCAGUGGAUGGCCUGGUGUGCUUUGCUUGGACGUCCGGACGCGACCGCGACGGUGCCGACAGCCUGGGCCUCCCGCACCUCGGCGGGGGAGGUGGUUCCCUCCUGCUCGGUAACGGUGCUGCUGCUUCUGUCGUUUGGCAUUUCUCUUCGGAUCUCUUGGCCUCGCGGUGGUGUUCGUAGUGAGACGGCGUGGGUCGUGGCACAACCGAGAUGGCGCAAGGUGGUGGGCGGAGGUUUGGCUGGUCGGCUUUGGUUCGGUCGGGUGGCGGGUUUGGAGUGUGGAAGAAAUCCUUGCCGGUCUUCGGCUCAAAUGCGGUGACACCUGCGAGUGCCACCAUUCCUUCCUGGAGAGUGUCGUUGUUCUCCAUCCCCCAACUCCCUCCGCGUGUCAGGGAAAACCCUAGGACCCGUCCGGGCAGCAGCGUCGUCGGCGUCGCAUUCCUUCUUGGGGGUUCUGCUUGGUACGCGGCGGAUCGGAGCCUCGGGCUAUGGUCGUUUGUUUCGAGUGGGCGCAGCGAUGGCGGGUCAUCCGUGCUUUGUCGAGCUGCCGCUGUAGGUAUUUGUUUCUUCUUCUUUUUCUUUUGGGCUUGUUGUGCUACUCGCCCCAGCGAUUUGUACUUUCGGU